rnacentral:rRNA from 1 species
GGGGGGCAGCAGUGGGGAAUAUUGCACAAUGGGGGAAACCCUGAUGCAGCAACGCCGCGUGAGUGAUGAAGGUUUUCGGAUCGUAAAGCUCUGUCUUUGGGGAAGAUAAUGACGGUACCCAAGGAGGAAGCCACGGCUAACUACGUGCCAGCAGCCGCGGUAAUACGUAGGUGGCGAGCGUUAUCCGGAUUUACUGGGCGUAAAGGGAGCGUAGGCGGAUGAUUAAGUGGGAUGUGAAAUACCCGGGCUCAACUUGGGUGCUGCAUUCCAAACUGGUUAUCUAGAGUGCAGGAGAGGAGAGUGGAAUUCCUAGUGUAGCGGUGAAAUGCGUAGAGAUUAGGAAGAACACCAGUGGCGAAGGCGACUCUCUGGACUGUAACUGACGCUGAGGCUCGAAAGCGUGGGGAGCAAACAGGAUUAGAUACCCUGGUAGUCCACGC